rnacentral:tRNA from 1 species
GCCUCUGUAGCUCAGUAGUUGGUUAGAGCGCUGCACCGGAAUCGCAGGGCCGUAGGUUCAAUUCCUACCAGAGGAC